AGAGUUUGAUCAUGGCUCAGGAUGAACGCUGGCGGUCUGCUUAACACAUGCAAGUCGAACGGAGUAGAAAUACUUAGUGGCGGACGGGUGAGUAACGCGUGAGAAUCUGCCUUCAGGACGGAGACAACAGUUGGAAACGACUGCUAAGCCCCGAUGAACCGAAAGGGAAAAUAUUUAUAGCCUGAAGAUGAGCUCGCGUCCGAUUAGCUAGUUGGUAGUGUAACGGACUACCAAGGCUACGAUGGCUAGGGGUUCUGAGAGGAUGAUCCCCCACACUGGUACUGAGAUACGGACCAGACUCCUACGGGAGGCAGCAGUAGGGAAUAUUGGGCAAUGGACGAAAGUCUGACCCAGCCAUGCCGCGUGCAGGAAGAAGGCCUUCUGGGUUGUAAACUGCUUUUAUCUGGGAAGAAAAAACUCCUGCGGGAGGAACUGACGGUACCAGAUGAAUAAGCACCGGCUAACUCCGUGCCAGCAGCCGCGGUAAUACGGAGGGUGCAAGCGUUGUCCGGAUUUAUUGGGUUUAAAGGGUGCGUAGGCGGCCCGAUAAGUCAGUGGUGAAAGCCUCCAGCUCAACUGGAGAACUGCCAUUGAUACUGUCGGGCUUGAGUACAGACGAGGUUGGCGGAAUUGAUUGUGUAGCGGUGAAAUGCAUAGAUACAAUCAAGAACACCGAUUGCGUAGGCAGCUAACUAGGCUGUAACUGACGCUGAGGCACGAAAGCGUGGGGAGCGAACAGGAUUAGAUACCCCUGUAGUCC
rnacentral:rRNA from 1 species